rnacentral:rRNA from 1 species
GAGUUUGAUCCUGGCUCAGAAUCAACGCUGGCGGCGUGCCUAACACAUGCAAGUCGAACGAGAAAGUGGAGCAAUCCAUGAGUAAAGUGGCGACCGGGUGAGUAACACGUGACUAACCUACCUUCGAAUGGGGAAUAACUCCGGGAAACCGGAGCUAAUACCGCAUAACACCGCAAGGUCAAAGGAGCAAUUCGCUUAAGGAGGGGGUCGCGGUUGAUUAGCUAGUUGGUGGGGUAAUGGCCCACCAAGGCGAUGAUCAAUAGCCGGCCUGAGAGGGCGCACGGCCACACUGGAACUGAAACACGGUCCAGACUCCUACGGGAGGCAGCAGUGGGGAAUUUUGCGCAAUGGGGGAAACCCUGACGCAGCAACGCCGCGUGGAGGAUGAAGGUCUUUGGA